AGAGUUUGAUCCUGGCUCAGGACGAACGCUGGCGGCACGCUUAACACAUGCAAGUCGAACGAGAGAAGAGGAGCUUGCUUUUCUGAUCUAGUGGCGGACGGGUGAGUAACACGUGAGCAAUCUGCCUUUCAGAGGGGGAUACCGAUUGGAAACGAUCGUUAAUACCGCAUAACAUAAUUGAACCGCAUGAUUGAUUAUCAAAGAUUUAUCGCUGAAAGAUGAGCUCGCGUCUGAUUAGCUAGUUGGUAAGGUAACGGCUUACCAAGGCGACGAUCAGUAGCCGGGCUGAGAGGUUGAUCGGCCACAUUGGGACUGAGACACGGCCCAGACUCCUACGGGAGGCAGCAGUGGGGAAUAUUGCACAAUGGAGGAAACUCUGAUGCAGCGAUGCCGCGUGAGGGAAGAAGGUUUUAGGAUUGUAAACCUCUGUCUUCAGGGACGAAAAAAGACGGUACCUGAGGAGGAAGCUCCGGCUAACUACGUGCCAGCAGCCGCGGUAAUACGUAGGGAGCGAGCGUUGUCCGGAAUUACUGGGUGUAAAGGGAGCGUAGGCGGGAUCGCAAGUCAGAUGUGAAAACUAUGGGCUUAACCCAUAAACUGCAUUUGAAACUGUGGUUCUUGAGUGAAGUAGAGGUAAGCGGAAUUCCUAGUGUAGCGGUGAAAUGCGUAGAUAUUAGGACGAACAUCAGUGGCGAAGGCGGCUUACUGGGCUUUAACUGACGCUGAGGCUCGAAAGCGUGGGGAGCAAACAGGAUUAGAUACCCUGGUAGUCCACGCCGUAAACGAUGAUUACUAGGUGUGGGGGGACUGACCCCUUCCGUGCUGCAGCAAACGCAAUAAGUAAUCCACCUGGGGAGUACGACCGCAAGGUUGAAACUCAAAGGAAUUGACGGGGGCCCGCACAAGCAGUGGAGUAUGUGGAUUAAUUCGAAGCAACGCGGAGAACCUUACCAGGUCUUGACAUCGUAUGCAUAGCUCAGAGAUGAGUGAAAUCUCUUCGGAGACAUAUAGACAGGUGGUGCAUGGUUGUCGUCAGCUCGUGUCGUGAGACGUUGGGUUAAGUCCCGCAACGAGCGCAACCCUUACUGUUAGUUGCUACGCAAGAGCACUCUAGCAGGACUGCCGUUGACAAAACGGAGGAAGGUGGGGAUGACGUCAAAUCAUCAUGCCCCUAUGACCUGGGCCUCACACGUACUACAAUGGCUGUCAACAGAGGGAAGCAAAGCCGCGAGGUGGAGCGAACCCCUAAAAGCAGUCUUAGUUCGGAUUGUAGGCUGCAACCCGCCUACAUGAAGUCGGAAUUGCUAGUAAUCGCAGAUCAGCAUGCUGCGGUGAAUACGUUCCCGGGCCUUGUACACACCGCCCGUCACGCCAUGGGAGUCGGUAACACCCGAAGCCUGUAGUCUAACCGCAAGGAGGACGCAGUCGAAGGUGGGAUUGAUGACUGGGGUGAAGUCGUAACAAGGUA
rnacentral:rRNA from 1 species